UCGCCUCUUCUCAGUACUUCUCUCUGAGAAGGAGAAGAAAUUCUCCCCUUCUUCUGAUCUUCAUCUUCUCUGUUAACCUUCAAUCAAACGAUUAAAAGUUCAAACCGUAUUACUUCGUCUGUCUCUUCGUUUUUAAUUCCGGUGUGAAGAAAAUUAGAAGAACAAUUCCGGUGCGAGUAGCGGCUUAAAGGAUUUUCUUCAUCUCCCACCAAACCUUCAUAGCGAGUAGCGGCUUAAAGGAUUCACUGCAAUCACCGCCAAAGAUUGAGACCAAUUGAGAGCAAUUGCCUGACAAGUAAAAUCAAGGUACAUUAUCAAAGGCA